rnacentral:tRNA from 1 species
GUCACGUUCGUCUAGCUGGCUCAGGACACAAGAUUUUCAUUCUUGUAGACAGGGGUUCGAAUCCCCUACGUGACG